GUGACAAUCACAGGAGCCAAGGGAGGGUUCCUUACUCAAACCCUAACUUGCUUAAAUCCAAGAAAUUGAGAGGCCAAAUCAGUCCCAAAUCGAAAUCCAAGCUCGUAUUCAUGAACACCAAGUUGAAAGGAUCACAAGUUUGACGCGUAACAAGCUAGGUGGAAGCUUGGAGUGAAAGCGGGUCAAACAAGUCAAGCAUGGAAGAAAAGCGUAGCUCGGAUGCAAGGUAAGUGAAACUUACAUAAUUGUGUAGAUUACUUGUUCAUUCUAUACGUUAUAGAUGCAAUAAUGCUAAUAUUGAAAAUAUGGAUUUCCGACGUGAUUGAUACGAGUCGGAACAUAUAAAGAUGAUAAAAACCAUGUUUAUGGCAAAAAGGGGAUUCGGUAAUGAAAUCCGGGACAGGAUGGAUGUAUGAAUUAGAAGUCAAAAACCAUGUUUUUGAUUUAAUAGGCAACGUUGGGCAUAUAGGCCGAACGGGUCAAAUGGUGGUGAUAACACUAUUUGACAAUAUCGACUAAUGCGAUUGUCAAGUCUUGUGUUAACAGGAGCGAUUAGCGAUUCAGUUAAUUUCGCCCACACUAAGUGUGAUGAUAAAAGCAAGGUAUAAAUUGGGUCUAUAUGUUGACCCUAGCCAGGUACUUUGUGGAAGCCGGAAGACGAUCAAGCUCAACGAAGAACCGAACACGAUACAGUU